ensembl:lncRNA
UGGAAGAGACCCAUGAAGACCAUCAAGUCCAGCUCCUGUCUCCACACACCACUGAAAAAUCCAAACCCUAUGUCUGAGAGCGGUGUCCCAACACUCCAUGAACUCCGGCAGCUUGGGACCAUGUCCCUUGCCCUGGGCAGCCUGUUCCAUGCCCACCGCCCUCUGGUGCAGACUCUUUCCCUAACCCCCAGCUGCCCCUCCCCUGACACAGCUCCAUGCCGUUCCCUCGGGCCCCGUCGCUGCCACGGAGCAGAGCUCAGCGCUGCCCUCCGCUCCCUGUGAGGAGCUGCAGCUGCCAUGAGGCCUCCCCUCAGACCCCUCUGCCGUGGGUUGAACAAUCCCAGGCACUUCAUUCUCUCCUCAAAUCUUUCCCUUCAGACCCUUCACCAUCUUUGUAGCCCUCACAAGUUUCCGUUGGUCUCCCUGCCCCCAUCAGUCUAGCGUGGCAUGAUAAUUCCCUUUACAUAUGGAGAAUGGGAUUUGACAUGAAACAUGGUAUAAAAUUUUGGAUCAUCCAGGAAAAUUUACACUAAUCUACCAACAAGUAAAUCCAAGCGCAGAAGAUCCCAAAGGAUAGCUAUGACACUUACUUGCGAAAGUGUGAAGGAAGAAGACUGCUUAGAGAUGGAACAGGAUUUUGGUUUCUGAGCUCAUACUGAUGUCUUGUGAAAUGGAGGGCACCCAUACUUCGUUCUGUCUUCAGGAAACUCCUGCAUCUACAGAUAAAGGUAGCAUCCCUUCUCUAUAUCUGCUUGCUGAAUCUCUGCUGGAGAGAACUGCCACAGGAGGCAUGUAUGUGUACUGGGAUAUUAUGCAACGGCUGGUUUUGAGGGGAUGGGUCUACCCAAUUCAUUUCUGUGGAAACCAAGGAUGCAUUGGUGUUUAUGGACUAUGGCCAGGAAAGAAACAGGAUCCAGAAAAUACUUCUUUUUAAGGCAGAAUCCUACUCUUGGGGGAAAAAAGUCACUGAAAACUGGAAAAACAGAAGAUUUCAACCAUCUCAUUACAUUCCAGUUUGUGUUUACAGAAAACAUAUCUAAAUUCUAUAUUUUUAUAUGAUUUUUUUAUUUUGUUCCCUUAGAAGUAGCUCCUGAGUAUAACCAUUUUACAACUGCUGUAUAAAACUUAUUAUCACUUGAUAAAGAAAAAAUGGGAUGGGUUAGUGUACAAAAGGAGAUGAGAAAAAGUAAGAGGGCUAAUGAAGAGAUUUGGAGGGGACAGCAAAGUUAAUGUGUUGGAAGAAGCCAAAUGGAUAGGAGGAUUACUAUUAAAUUCCUACCACUGUUACAUUAUCCCAUUCUACUUCAAUGCCUUUAUUUGGCAAAUGGAGAGAGUGAUAUGUUUUUGCAAAGCUAAAAAAAUAGUGUCAAUUUAGUGCACAGACAGCUCAUCUUCAAUGACAGUCAUCAAAGGGAAAGUAUGAAAAAUUGAAGUUUUUAGGGAUUUAGAUGCUGCUGAUAGGUCUAAUGCUAUCAAACCGUUCAUGAUUUGGAAGUAAAUAGGAAAAAUCUUUCUUUUAGAGUGACUGAAUGCGUGUGAGUGACAGUGAUUCUGUUUUUUUGCAUAGUGGGGAAAAAUACCCAAAUUCUGAACACUUAGCAAAACACAGGUCUUGUUUCCAGUCAGCCCUAUUUAUAAUAAUAGAUCUUCAAGAGCUGAAUCUUAUCAGAGCAAGAUAAAGGUGACUUCACUGCAGUGAAUAAGUACCUCCACAAGGAGAAAAUGAAGGUACUAAAGAACUCUUUAACCAAUCUGAGAAAAGCCUGAGAAGAAUCAAUUGCUGGAAACUGAAGCCAAAUUAAUUCAGAUGAAUUGUAAUUUUUUAACUGUCAGAAUGAUUAAAUAUUGGAAUAUUCCCCGGGACAGACAGAUUCUCCAUUUUCCAAGAAUUUUCAGACCAAGGUAAGAGAAUUUCUGUUGAGUACAAGUUCUUU